CCUACGGGAGGCUGCAGUGGGGAAUAUUGGGCAAUGGGCGAAAGCCUGACCCAGCAACGCCGCGUGAGGGAAGAAGGCUUUCUGGUUGUAAACUUCUUUUUACAGGGAAGAGCAGAGUACGUUACCUGUCGAAUCAUCCACGGCUAACGACGUGCCAGCGGCCGCGGGAAUACGUAGGGGGCAAGCAUUGUCCGGAUUUACUGGGUGUAAAGGGCGUGUAGCCGGGCGGAGAAGUCAGAUGUGAAAUCCGGGGGCCCAACCCCCGAACCGCAGUUGAAACUGUUGGUCUUGAGUAUCGGAGAGGCAGGCGGAAUUCGUAGUGUAGCGGUGAAAUGCGUAGAUAUCACGAGGAACACCAGUGGCGAAGGCGGCCUGCUGGACGACAACUGACGGUGAGGCGCGAAAGCGUGGGGAGCAAACAGGAUUAGAUACCCUUGUAGUC
rnacentral:rRNA from 1 species